rnacentral:tRNA from 1 species
AGAGAAAUAGCUCAGUGGUAGAGUGCGUGCUUAGUGUGCACCAGGUCCUGGGUUCAAUCCCUAGUGCCUCCA